rnacentral:tmRNA from 1 species
GGGGUUGACUGGAUUUGACAGCAAGCCGAGAUGGUACGUAAGCAUGCGGAGUGACGGCUGUGGACUCCAUAAUCACGUCGGUCAGAAAAUUAAUUGGCGAAAACAAUUACGCUCUCGCUGCCUAAUCGAAGCAUAGUAGAUUACUGGCUUUAUCGUCUUACAAGGUAGGACGACGAGACAUCGCUCCGAGGAUGUUGUUCCGAAUCCAAAGAUCAAGCGGUGCAGGUUAAAUCGGAAAUAGUCGCGUGGGCGCCUCGACUGUGUGAUGAAAUCUUUAGAGGAUAAGGCUGUGAUUGGUGGCUUGGGUCUUGUCACAGCCCGACAAUGAAGGCCAAGAUAAGCAUGUAGAAAGCGUAUGGUUUCCUUGUUUGGACGAGGGUUCGACUCCCUCCAGCUCCACA